rnacentral:rRNA from 1 species
UACGUAGGGGGCGAGCGUUGUCCGGAAUUAUUGGGCGUAAAGGGCUCGUAGGCGGUCUGUCGCGUCGGGAGUGAAAACUCGGGGCUUAACUCCGAGCCUGCUUCUGAUACGGGCAGACUAGAGGUAUGCAGGGGAGAAUGGAAUUCCUGGUGUAGCGGUGAAAUGCGCAGAUAUCAGGAGGAACACCGGUGGCGAAGGCGGUUCUCUGGGCAUGACCUGACGCUGAGGAGCGAAAGUGUGGGGAGCGAACAGG